rnacentral:rRNA from 1 species
CCUACGGGAGGCAGCAGUGGGGAAUAUUGCACAAUGGGCGCAAGCCUGAUGCAGCCAUGCCGCGUGUGUGAAGAAGGCCUUCGGGUUGUAAAGCACUUUCAGCGGGGAGGAAGGCGGUGAGGUUAAUAACCUCAUCGAUUGACGUUACCCGCAGAAGAAGCACCGGCUAACUCCGUGCCAGCAGCCGCGGUAAUACGGAGGGUGCAAGCGUUAAUCGGAAUUACUGGGCGUAAAGCGCACGCAGGCGGUCUGUCAAGUCGGAUGUGAAAUCCCCGGGCUCAACCUGGGAACUGCAUUCGAAACUGGCAGGCUAGAGUCUUGUAGAGGGGGGUAGAAUUCCAGGUGUAGCGGUGAAAUGCGUAGAGAUCUGGAGGAAUACCGGUGGCGAAGGCGGCCCCCUGGACAAAGACUGACGCUCAGGUGCGAAAGCGUGGGGGGCAAACAGGAUUAGAUACCCCGGUAGUC